UACGAAGGGGGCUAGCGUUGCUCGGAAUCACUGGGCGUAAAGGGUGCGUAGGCGGGUCUUUAAGUCAGGGGUGAAAUCCUGGAGCUCAACUCCAGAACUGCCUUUGAUACUGAGGAUCUUGAGUUCGGGGAGAGGUGAGUGGAACUGCGAGUGUAGAGGUGAAAUUCGUAGAUAUUCGCAAGAACGACCAGUGGCGAAGGCGGCUCACUGGCCCGAUACUGACGCUGAGGCACGAAAGCGUGGGGAGCAAACAGG
rnacentral:rRNA from 1 species